AGUGUGGCCUUCCCCUUCUCACUAUUGAGCAUGCUCUCUGUGGUCCCACUUUCUACCUACGUAUAAAGAAUUAAGAAGGCUCUAGCAAGAUGAAUAUCUUAGAUCUCAGGCUCCUUAACCUCCAGAGCAGGAAGGUUGAAUUUCUGGUCUACAAAUAACCCAGUGGUCAGCAGUCAGUAUGGUGUAACACCACCACAAAAUGGGUGAACAUGGCCAUCAAAAGCUUUGGGAACAUGGAGAAUGACCAUCCCAACAAGUGACUCUGAUGAGGAGCCAGAAUCAGCCACAAGUGAGAGGACCAUGCCAACAAGUGACUCUGAUGAGGAAAUAGAAUCACCCAUGUGUGAGGGGUUUAAUUUCCGGGGUUUCCGCUGGAUGAAAACCAUGAUCCACACCAUCAAGGAGAUUAAUGAGAGGAAGGACAUUUUGCCCAACCACACUCUGGGCUACCAGAUCUUCGACACCUGUUUCUCUGUCUCCAAAGCAAUGGAGACUGCUAUGACACUUCUUACAGGACAGGAAGAAAAGAAACCCAAUUAUAGAAACAGCACGGGAAAAUAUCUCGUAGGAAUCAUUGGAUCAGGAGGCUCAUCCUUGUCAGUUACUGCUGCAAGAAUUUUCGGGUUGUAUUACAUGCCUCAGGUAGGCUAUACUUCAUCCAGCGCAAUUCUUAGUGACAAAUUCCAGUUUCCAUCAUUUUAUCGCUCAAUACCCAGUGAUAAGAUCCAGAUUGAGGCCAUGGUGACUCUCAUCAUACACUUUGGUUGGGUCUGGGUAGGUGCUAUUGCAUCUGAGGAUGAUUAUGGAAAAUAUGGAGUAAAAUCCUUUAGGGAAAAAAUGGAGACUGCCAACCUCUGUGUUGCUUUCUCUGAAACCAUUCCAAAAGUCUACUCCAAUGAGAGAAUGCAAAAAGCUGUUAAGGCAAUAAAGAGUUCCAGUGCCAAAGUCAUUGUUCUAUAUACUUCUGACAUUGACCUCAGCCCGUUUGUGCUGGAAGUGAUUCAUCAUAACAUAACUCACAGGACAUGGAUAGCCAGCGAAGCCUGGAUUACCUCAGCUCUCAUUGCAAAGCCUGAGUACUUUCCCUAUUUUGGUGGAACUAUUGGGUUUGCAAUCCCAAGAAGUGUUAUACCAGGAUUAAAAGAAUUUCUUUAUGAUGUACACCCUAGCAAGGAUCCAAAUGAUGUCUUGACCAUUGAAUUCUGGCAAACUGCUUUUAACUGUACCUGGCCCAACAGCAGUGUGCCUUACAAUGUGGACCACAGAGUGAAUAUGACUGGUAAAGAAGACAGACUGUAUGACAUGUCUGAUCAGCUCUGCACUGGAGAGAAGAAACUGGAAGAUCUGAAAAAUACCUAUCUGGAUACAUCUCAGCUAAGAAUCACAAACAAUGUCAGACAAGCUGUGUAUCUUAUGGCUCAUGCCCUGGAUCAUUUAAGCACUUGUGACUUAUUGGAAGAACAGAGGAAUAAUACAGCAUGUUCACAUAUACCUGACUUUGAGCCCAAAGAGCUAUUGCCUUACUUUAAGAAACUGAAAAUUACUACCCAUGAUGGAGCAGAAAUAGAACUUAAUGGCAAUGGAGAUGUAGACAGUGGGUAUUAUGAUAUCCUCAAUUGGCACAUGGGUGAUGCUGGAGAAAUCACCUUUGUCAAGGUUGGAGAAUACAUAUUUAAUUCUACAAAAUAUGAACUUGUUCUUCCAAAGAACUCAUCGUUGUUUUGGAACACUGAAUCUUCAAGGCUUCCAGAUUCAGUCUGCACAAAACUGUGUGCUCCAGGGACCCGAAAGGGGAUUCGACCUGGACAACCCCUAUGCUGCUUUGCUUGUAUUCCAUGUGCUGAUGGAUAUGUGUCAGAGAAACCAGGACAAAGAGAAUGUGAUCCAUGCGGUGAAGAUGACUGGUCCAAUGCAGAGAAGAGCAAGUGUGUGCCAAAGCUUGUGGAAUUCCUCGCUUACGAAGAGGCACUGGGGUUCACUCUUGUCAUCCUGUCAAUCUUUGGGGCACUUGUGGUCUUGGCAGUCACUGCUGUGGGAGAUUUGUGUAUGUGCAGUGUACUUGGUGUUGGAGCCUCCAAGGAUGUUCAAGAACAUUGAAAUUCAAAAUGUAAAGAUCAUCUUUGAAUGCAGUGAAGGUUCUAUAGAGUUUCUGUGCUCCAUAUUUGGGUUUGAUGUUCUCCUGGCUCUGCUGUGUUUUCUUACAACUUUUGUGGCUCGCCAGCUGCCAGAUAACUAUUAUGAAGGUAAAUGUAUCACUUUUG
rnacentral:lncRNA from 1 species